rnacentral:rRNA from 1 species
AGCGAACGCUGGCGGCAGGCUUAACACAUGCAAGUCGAGCGGGCCCUUCGGGGUCAGCGGCAGACGGGUGAGUAACACGUGGGAACGUACCCUUUGGUUCGGAAUAACGCUGGGAAACUAGCGCUAAUACCGGAUACGCCCUUUUGGGGAAAGGCUUGCUGCCGAAGGAUCGGCCCGCGUCUGAUUAGCUAGUUGGUGGGGUAAUGGCCUACCAAGGCGACGAUCAGUAGCUGGUCUGAGAGGAUGAUCAGCCACACUGGGACUGAGACACGGCCCAGACCCCUACGGGAGGCAGCAGUGGGGAAUAUUGGACAAUGGGCGCAAGCCUGAUCCAGCCAUGCCGCGUGAGUGAUGAAGGCCUUAGGGUUGUAAAGCUCUUUUGUCCGGGACGAUAAUGACGGUACCGGAAGAAUAAGCCCCGGCUAACUUCGUG